GACGAACGCUGGCGGCGUGCUUAACACAUGCAAGUCGAACGGAAAGGCCCUGCUUUUGUGGGGUGCUCGAGUGGCGAACGGGUGAGUAACACGUGAGUAACCUGCCCUUGACUUUGGGAUAACUUCAGGAAACUGGGGCUAAUACCGGAUAGGAGCUCCUGCUGCAUGGUGGGGGUGGGACAGUUUCGGCGGUUGGGGAUGGACUCGCGGCUUAUCAGCUUGUUGGUGGGGUAGUGGCUUACCAAGGCUUUGACGGGUAGCCGGCCUGAGAGGGUGACCGGCCACAUUGGGACUGAGAUACGGCCCAGACUCCUACGGGAGGCAGCAGUGGGGAAUAUUGCACACUGGGCGGAAGCCUGAUGCAGCAACGCCGCGUGCGGGAUGACGGCCUUCGGGUUGUAAACCGCUUUCGCCUGUGACGAAGUGUGAGUGACGGUAAUGGGUAAAGAAGCACCGGCUAACUACGUG
rnacentral:rRNA from 1 species